GUACUUGCUUCGGCGGUACAUAUACAAAAAUUGGAAUGACACAGAGACGAUAAGCAUGGCCCCUGCGCAUGGAUGACACGCAAAAUCGUGAAGCGUUCCAUAUAUUU
rnacentral:snRNA from 1 species